GACGAACGCUGGCGGCGUGCUUAACACAUGCAAGUCGAACGGAAAGGCCCUGCUUUUGUGGGGUGCUCGAGUGGCGAACGGGUGAGUAACACGUGAGUAACCUGCCCUUGACUUUGGGAUAACUUCAGGAAACUGGGGCUAAUACCGGAUAGGAGCUCCUGCUGCAUGGUGGGGGUUGGAAAGUUUCGGCGGUUGGGGAUGGACUCGCGGCUUAUCAGCUUGUUGGUGGGGUAGUGGCUUACCAAGGCUUUGACGGGUAGCCGGCCUGAGAGGGUGACCGGCCACAUUGGGACGGAGAUACGGCCCAGACUCCUACGGGAGGCAGCAGUGGGGAAAAUUGCACAAUGGGCGGAAGCCUGAUGCAGCAACGCCGCGUGCGGGAUGGCGGCCUUCGGGUUGUAAACCGCUUUCGCCUGUGACGAAGCGUGAGUGACGGUAAUGGGUAAAGAAGCACCGGCUAACUACGUG
rnacentral:rRNA from 1 species